ensembl:lncRNA
AAUGUGGAAAGGACGAGUUUUUCCAGACUGAAGCAGUGGAGCAGUUUCAUCAGCUGGUGCCCCAGAAGGUCAGCAUGGAGUUUGAGAAUACUAGUAUAACCCUGUCCAUGCACAGCCAGAAAAGGUGAGUCAUAAGACAUGGAGUUAGUAUGAAUUAUAUUUUAUGUGUUGGUUUGUGUUUCUGUUAUUCCAUUUUCUUCAUCCUUUGACUAUCUGAAUCAUCGGACGUGAGGACGAGCAGCUGUCGCUCAGGAGCUUCACCCCUGAGAUGAGCUUCCCUCAGAGCAGCCUGGAGCUACUUCUGGAGGAUGGGCUUCUCCUCUCCCAGAGCAGACAGAGAAUCCUUUGCCUUAACACCCUCAGGACUGUCUUGCGAGUGGUGUGGAUUUGAUUGAUAUAGUUACUAGUUUUCAUAGUUGCAUUGCAUCAACAUAGCUUUUUGCAAAUAUGUUUGACAUUUGAUCUCUCGUAAUAAAUAAGUUUGUUCUGAAGUCUCCUGCUUAUCUCCCACUCAUGUCCCCAGGUGACAUCAGUGGACAUUUCAGGGCCAGUCACAGUCAACACCUGCAUCAUCCACUACCGUCACCAGGAGUUCUCCCAUUGGCUAGACCUGUUUCCAUGGGAACAGCUUAUUCAUAGGAAAACAGCUCAUAGAAAGAGGAACUUCCCCCACCUGGACACCCCAGUGAUGAUCAGCUCCUCAGUGUCCAAUGUCAAUGUGUCUGGGAGACACUCCUCCCUUCGCCCUGGGCUUCAUCUCAGUCAGCACAGGUACAGCACAACACACACUCACACAAGGCAUGGUCAAAAUAUACUCCCGUUGCAUUAAAGGUCAAGAAUAUGUUGUGGAAACACAAAGUUUAGUCUUGCCUGGAGAGGAAUGACAGGAAUGCUAAUGAACAGCAGUGGGUGUUUUUCUUCAGUUCAUUCUGCUUUCAACAUUGCAGUGGUUUCAGGAAGUCAUGGUGCUGGAGCUGUUGAAUCAACCCUUUCCAAAAAUACCCAGCCCUGAAAAAUUAUAUAAGUCAUCAGAAGUGUUUUUAGAUGCAGCACUUCCUGGACAUCAGCACAAACGCAGAGAGCCUCAAUAUCCAGAAUGUUCACCACCACCUCUCUAUGUCCCUGGCAAACACGUGUGGGGGGAAGCCCUCAUCCUCAACUCCCUUACACUGCAGGCAUACAAGGUAGGCAAUAACUAUUUAGGGUUACUCACUCACUACUACUCCCCAAGGUUUCAGCUGGGUUCC